rnacentral:rRNA from 1 species
AUUGAACGCUGGCGGCAUGCUUUACACAUGCAAGUCGAACGGUAACAGGCCGCAAGGUGCUGACGAGUGGCGAACGAGUGAGUAAUGCAUCGGAACGUGCCCAGUCGUGGGGGAUAACGCAGCGACAGCUGCGCUAAUACCGCAUACGAUCUCUGGAUGAAAGCGGGGGACCGAAAGGCCUCGCGAGAUUGGAGCGGCCGAUGUCAGAUUAGGCAGUUGGUGGGGUAAAGGCCCACCAAGCCAACGAUCUGUAGCUGGUCUGAGAGGACGACCAGCCACACUGGGACUGAGACACGGCCCAGACUCCUACGGGAGGCAGCAGUGGGGAAUUUUGGACAGUGGGCGCAAGCCUGAUCCAGCAAUGCCGCGUGCAGGAAGAAGGCCUUCGGGUUGUAAACUGCUUUUGUACGGAACGAAACGGUCCGGGUUAAUACCCUGGGCUAAUGACGGUACCGUAAGAAUAAGCACCGGCUAACUACGUGCCAGCCGCCGCCGUAAAAC